GGUGAACGCUGGCGGCGUGCCUAAGACAUGCAAGUCGAGCGGGCCGCGGGGUUUUACUCCGUGGUCAGCGGCGGACGGGUGAGUAACGCGUGGGUGACCUACCCGGAAGAGGGGGACAACCCGGGGAAACUCGGGCUAAUCCCCCAUGUGGACCCGCCCCUUGGGGUGUGUCCAAAGGGCUUUGCCCGCUUCCGGAUGGGCCCGCGUCCCAUCAGCUAGUUGGUGGGGUAAUGGCCCACCAAGGCGACGACGGGUAGCCGGCCUGAGAGGGUGGCCGGCCACAGGGGCACUGAGACACGGGCCCCACUCCUACGGGAGGCAGCUGUUAGGAAUCGUCCGCAAUGGGCGCAAGCCUGACGGAGCGACGCCGCUUGGAGGAAGAAGCCCUUCGGGGUGUAAACUCCUGAACCCGGGACGAAACCCCCGACGAGGGGACUGACGGUACCGGGGUAAUAGCGCCGGCCAACUCCGUG
rnacentral:rRNA from 1 species